rnacentral:rRNA from 1 species
AUGUUUUUAGUUGGCUACAAUAGAUAUCUCAGCCGGCCAGGUUGUAUUUAUUUCAGUUUUUGGCCAACAUGCAUGUUCAGUUGGACAGUUAAUGCAUUCAGUUGGCUAGAAUAG